AUAUCACUAAGCGGGGGAGAAGAAAUUAACUAAGAUUGCCCCAGUAACGGCGAGUGAAGCGGCAAAAGCCCAAAAUGGAGAUCUCCAUCCUUCGGAUGGCGAAUUGUAAUCUAUAGGUAGGAAGCUCACCUAGUGGUGGCGCAGAAGUGUCCUAGAACGGACCGCCAGAGAGGGUGACAGCCCCGUAUGUGGUGCCUCCACUUAACGAGCUCCUGCUCACGAGUCGGGUUGUUUUGAAUUGCAGCCCUAUCUAGGAGAUAGACUUCUUCUAAGGCUAAAUAUUUAUGGGAGACCGAUAGCGCACAAGUA
rnacentral:rRNA from 1 species